rnacentral:rRNA from 1 species
GAGUACGAUCGCAAGGUUGAAACUCAAAGGAAUUGACGGGGGCCCGCACAAGCGGAGGAACAUGUGGUUUAAUUCGAUGAUACGCGAGGAACCUUACCUGGGCUUAAAUGUAGAGUGCAUGAAUCGGAAACGGUUCUUUCCUUCGGGACUCUUUACAAGGUGCUGCAUGGUUGUCGUCAGCUCGUGCCGUGAGGUGUCGGGUUAAGUCCCAUAACGAGCGCAACCCUUACCGUUAGUUGCCAUCAGGUAAAGCUGGGGACUCUGGCGGGACUGCCACCGUAAGGUGAGAGGAAGGUGGGGAUGACGUCAAAUCAGCACGGCCCUUAUGUCCAGGGCUACACACGUGUUACAAUGGCCGGUACAAAGGGCAGCUACCCCGCGAGGGGUUGCCAAUCCUCAAAGCCGGUCUCAGUUCGGAUUGGAGUCUGCAACCCGACUCCAUGAAGUUGGAUUCGCUAGUAAUCGCGCAUCAGCCAUGGCGCGGUGAAUACGUUCCCGGGCCUUGUACACACCGCCCGUCAAACCAUGGGAGCUGGGGGUACCUGAAGUCUGUGAUCCUGAGCAAUUGGGAAGCGGCCUAGGGUAAAACCAGUGACUGGGGUUAAGUCGUAACAAGGUAACCAAGGGCGAA